rnacentral:rRNA from 1 species
UCUAGAAGCUUCGGCAAUGGGGGAAACCCUGACCGAGCGACGCCGCGUGCAGGAUGAAGGUCUUCGGAUCGUAAACUGCUUUCGCUGGGGGGAGAAAUGCCUGGAGGUGAAUAAUCUUCAGGUUAGACGGUACCCAGUAAAGAAGCCCCGGCUAAGUCCGUGCCAGCAGCCGCGGUAAUACGGGCGGGGCGAGCGUUGUUCGGAUUCAUUGGGUGUAAAGGGUGCGAAGGCGGUCGUCUAAGUCGAAGGUGAAAUGUCUACGGCUCAACCGAGGCAUUGCCUCCGAUACUGGACGACUUGAGUGCGGAAGGGGAGCGUGGAAUUCCUGGUGUAGCGGUGAAAUGCGUAGAUAUCAGGAGGAACACCAGUGGCGAAGGCGACGCUCUGGUCCGCAACUGACGC